AACCUCCAUGUUCUGGCCGAAGAUGCUUUUUUGGUAUAAUAUAGUAAUAGAGCUUGUGUGAUUAUUCGCUUAGUCAAACAAAAUUCUCCCUUACACAAAUGAUUAGAGACUUUGGAACAGAAGAUGAAGACAAGAGAUGACUUGGGAAACUAAAGAAGAUAUAUAAGUGUUUAAAUAAUUUGUUUGACUCAAUCUAUUUUUGAGUUUAUAUGGAAACACAACGUGGGAUUGUAUCAAAGUUGGUUUUUAUACAUACAUAUGUUUCUUUGGGUUGUGGUU